rnacentral:snoRNA from 1 species
ACUCCAUGGUGUGGACAUUUCCGCUGCAAAUCCUUGAAUCUUUCCCAGGCAUCAUGAAGGGUUUCGUUGUCACGUUGCCUAAAGCUAGUGAUGUCAGUUCUGAGCUU